GUAAAGCUCGGUUCAACAGGAGGAGGGUGCUAUAAAAUAGGCCCAAUCUAUUCCAGUGGGUUUAAGCCACAUUUGCACUCUUUCAAGCCGAGGUCAUUCUGCACCAGUCUGGUUCCCUGGUGUAAAUUGGCUACCCUAACUUGAGCUGCCUGCCAAUGGCCUGAAGGUCCCAGAAGGUCGUUGGAGGAUCCCCAUAUGCAGCAUUUCUUUAAGCUCCAAGGAACAAAACAUGCCAAUUGCAUGCGAGGAAUGGAGAAGAUGCUCCUUAUGCAAGUGUGCUGACUAGAUGAUCACAACGAUCCCUUCUGGCUUGGAAUCUGACUCUGAUACUCUAUCAGCCUCCAUCCUCUGUGACCCAAUCCAAUGAAAGGCAUGAUCCAGGAAACUUGUGGAGAAAAGGAAAUCCUUCCACUGUGCUUGAUUUUACCUUCUGAAGGCUCCAACUCUCCCAUUAUCAACAUCAAGAGAGAAGUCUGAAAAUAAUUAACAGUUAAUGUAUCAGAUCUACACAACUCUA